rnacentral:lncRNA from 1 species
ACAAAGAAAUUUUUGUUUCCUGUCAUAUGGUUGCUGUAACUACUAUCUAGAUACCAAACUUCAUUACAUAUAUCAGUAUAAUCAAUCAAGCAAGUGAGAAAUAAAUUAUCAUCACUGGCAUCUUUUUCCUCAUGAAAGUUUGCUUGCUCUUUAGCCUUCAAGUAAUAGUUUCUUGCUAUAUGGCCAUAUUUCAUACAAUAAUAGCAUUGUGGAGCAUUUUUACUUUGAUUGGAUUUAUUUUUGAUCCAGCAGUUUUCCUCUUCAUGAUUAGAUUUUUCACAAUGACUACAUGAGGCAAAGUUACCUUCAUUACCUCUGUUGGUGCGAGAUAUCGACCGAUGCUGGAGGAGCUAGAGCGGACGGUCGAGGUCGAUCUUCUGGGGGACAAGACCUAUAAAAAAAGCCCCGAUCGGAGGUGGCUCCAGUGGAAAUUCUCUGAUACUCAAGUCAGUAUCUCGUUCAAUAGAGGGAGGAGCGUAAGGGGCAGAGUGAUGGCUUAUCUUGGAGUCUCCUUUUUUAUAUCUUUUUAUAGACAGAGCUAGAGGUCAUUAGGCCUGAGACUGUAGGCUAUCGAGGUA